rnacentral:rRNA from 1 species
UACGUAGGUCCCGAGCGUUGUCCGGAUUUAUUGGGCGUAAAGCGAGCGCAGGUGGUUUAUUAAGUCUGGUGUAAAAGGCAGUGGCUCAACCAUUGUAUGCAUUUGAAACUGGUAGACUUGAGUGCAGGAGAGGAGAGUGGAAUUCCAUGUGUAGCGGUGAAAUGCGUAGAUAUAUGGAGGAACACCGGUGGCGAAAGCGGCUCUCUGGCCUGUAACUGACACUGAGGCUCGGAAGCGUGGGAAGCAAACAGG